rnacentral:sRNA from 1 species
ACUCAGGAGCCUGCUGAGGACAGAUGAAAUGAAUGUGACUGUCGAAGCCACCAUAAGUGACAAUGUCCUUUUCGGCUGCAAUGACAUCCGUAUUGGAUCCGACAACCAUGUUAGGAUCGACACCUUCCAUGACAUCUGGAUUACCUGCCUUGCCAAUACCUACAAUAAUGCCGUUCUUGACACCAAUGUCGGCCUUGUAGAUACCAGUGUAAUCAACAAUCAGAGCGUUGGUCAGAACCAAAUCCAAGCAGUCGAUGUCUGAACGUCCAGAAGCUUGGCCCAUGCCAUCACGAAU